AGUUAUGUUCUUGAAACUUAAAAAAUUUGGCGGUAUUUUAGUCUNNNNNNAGGAACCUGUCCUGUAAUUGAUAAUCCACGUUGGACCUUACUUAAGUUUGUUAAUCAGUUUGUAUACCGUCGUUAUAAGAAUAUUUUAUUAGAAUAAUAAUUUUCUAGAAUUUUUAUAAAAAUUGAUAUCAGAUCAAGGUGCAGCUAAUGUUUAAGUAGAGAUGGGUUACAAUAAAAAUAUUUAAAUGAAUUAAUUUUUGCAAUAAAAUUAUGAAGGUGGAUUUGAAUGUAAAAUUAUAAAGAUUAAUAAUUUGAUUUUAGCUCUAAAAUAUGUACAUAUCGCCCGUCACUCUUAUUAUUAAGGUAAGAUAAGUCGUAACAUAGUAGAUGUACUGGAAAGUGUAUCUAGAAUGCAAUUUAAAGCUUAAAUAGUAAAGCAUUUCAUUUACAUUGAAAAGAUUUUUGUGCAAAUCAUUAUAAGUUGAUUAAAUUUUAUUUAUUAAUUAUUUUAUUUAUAUAAUUUUUAUAUUAGAAAUAUCUUUAAAAAUUAAAGUUUUAGUAUUUUAUAAAGAAAAAAUAAUUUUUAUAAUAGUGUAUUAGUAUUGUGAAAGAAUAUUGAAAU
rnacentral:rRNA from 1 species